GUGAUUCUCAUGCUUCAGCCUCCUGAGUAGCUGGGACUACAGUGGAAUGGAAUCAAAUGGGCAUCUUGAGAGCAGGAAACCUCCUUGUUGCCAUUGUAUCCCUAGAGCCUCACAUAGGCUUCAGGACCAACUCUCUCCAUACGUGUCUGACCAUAAAACAGGGUUUUUGUGAUGUGAGACAUUCAAGUUUUACGUUCAAAUGUCAUGAAAGAAAAUGCAACUUGUUACAGUCACAUGGAUAGGAAUGAAGGACAAUUUAACCUCAGCUAAACUGAAGAAUCUUGAAAACAUUUGAGGUUUUUAUAUACAGUAUUGUGUAUAUGUGGGCCUGUUUAAUGAUCCAUUAAGCAACUCAUUUCCUCUCUUAUUCCUCCACCCAGCUCCUGAGAACUGCCAAGUUUCCCUAUUAUCACUUUCUGUUAAAUCCAUCCUCUUGCCUCCCAUCCCUUUUCAGGCCCUCAGUAUCCUUCACUUGCUCUGAAAUGCUCCUGCAGUGGCUCUUGGAUGUCAGUCUUACCUUCUGGAAUCCAGGCUCCACACUGGUACCAGAUGAGUAACUCCGAAAUGCCAUUGACCUUGUCCCUGCUCUGCCACCCAGUCCUUCAAUACCACCUCUUGUCUACACCAUGCAGUUCUCUACUUGGAACAUAAGGCCCAAUAACCUGGUGUUGGGCUCUGAACACUUUGACAUGCUGAGUAAUUUAAACUGAAGGAGACUGGAAGGUCUCAGAAGGCGGGGCUCUCUGACCUCUCCCAUCCUUCGGUUUUCCACCAGUCUUUCUCCUCUGAGGUGAUUCACAGAAACCAGAAUUCCUCUUCCCCAAGGUGGGUCAUAGAAACUAGAAUCCCUUUCCCCCAAAGCAAGCCAUAAAACCUAGAAAGGCCACUCCCUUUUCCUUCUCCCUUCUUCCUUGGAGACCCUCAUUUCAGAGGGGUCCUGCCCCAUCCCCAGGAGGAAAAAAUGCUACACAGGCCAAGAAAAAUCUGAACAGACAGGCCUUUCUGGAUUUCCCUCCCCUGCCCCAACCUCUGUUAUUACCAUUAGAUCACACUCUUUUUGUCUAAUCAUAUUCCUACAUGGCUAGCCAUUCUUCAGUGAACCUAUGCAUUAAACUAGUUUUCCCUGGGUCAUUGGGUCUUUAUUUCUGAAGACCCCUAUAUCAUGUAAAACUUUGAUUAAAUAAACGUGUUAUGGUUUUCUCUUGUUAACCUGUCUUCUGUUAUAGGAGUGUUGACCAUGAUCCUUAUAACAGGUGAGGAAAGAUGUCACCUUUCUGCCCCCUAUAGUUUCUGGCACCCAAAGUAGGGGUGGCUGAGACACCUAAUUUGCUCUGGAACCUGCAGAAUAGAUCCUGGGACAACUGACAAACAGCCGGCAAAGAAAAGCUCCUGUCUCCUCCAUUUGUUGAUCGGUGGAUGGAAAAUUACUAAAAGGAAACAUCAGAGUAGGCAAGAAGAACCUGAUGGGUGAUUACAAAAGGAGGAGGAAUUCUG